UGGGGAAUUUUGGACAAUGGGCGAAAGCCUGAUCCAGCCAUGCCGCGUGAGUGAAGAAGGCCUUCGGGUUGUAAAGCUCUUUUAGUCGGAAAGAAAGAGUUGCAAUGAAUAAUUGUGAUUUAUGACGGUACCGACAGAAAAAGCACCGGCUAACUACGUGCCAGCAGCCGCGGUAAUACGUAGGGUGCGAGCGUUAAUCGGAAUUACUGGGCGUAAAGGGUGCGCAGGCGGUCUUGCAAGUCAGAUGUGAAAGCCCCGGGCUUAACAUGGGAAUUGCGUUUGAAACUACAAGACUAGAGUGCAGCAGAGGGGAGUGGAAUUCCAUGUGUAGCAGUGAAAUGCGUAGAGAUGUGGAAGUACACCGAUGGCGAAGGCAGCCCCCUGGGCCUGUACUGACGCUCAUGCACGAAAGCGUGGGGAGCAAACA
rnacentral:rRNA from 1 species